UACGUAGGGGGCGAGCGUUGUCCGGAGUUACUGGGCGUAAAGGGCACGCAGGCGGUGCGGCGCGUUUCGCGUGACAGCGGAGGGCUUAACUCUCCGAGGAUGCGAAAGACGGCGGCACUUGAGGGCCAGAGAGGGACACGGAAUUCCGGGUGGAGUGGUGGAAUGCGUAGAGAUCCGGAAGAACACCGGUGGCGAAGGCGGUCUGCUGGGGUAAUGCUGACACUGAUGCGCGACAGCGUGGGGAGCAAACGGG
rnacentral:rRNA from 1 species